ACAUGAUUACAUCAUAGCAUUAAUGCACUGGAUCCCAUUAGAACUAUGCAUUUAAGCACGUUCGGGCUAGAGUAGUACUGGGAUGGGUGACUGCCCGGGAAGUCCUAGUGUUUUACAUGCC
rfam:Picea glauca, whole genome shotgun sequence.